AUCCUUGCAAUGUGUUCCUUGCACCGGUCCCCUAAGUCCCUCCCGCGCUAGCCGCCCAGCCCCGCCCCUCCCGGGCCCUGCCCCUCCAGACCCCGCCCUUCCCCGCCCCGCCCCUCUCUCGCCCGGGCCCCACCCCUUCCCGGGCCCCACUCCUGGGGCGCACCUUGCGCCCACCCGCCUCAGUCGCCGCCGGCCAUUCGGCGUCCCGGCGGUUUCCUGCUCCGCCCUGUCCCUCCGCGCGGGCGCUCGCCUUCCCCGCCUCGCAGGCCUCACUCGGUUCAGGGCGGUUGGGCCGCACGCCUGUCGGGGCGGGGCUGGAGCGGGGGACCGAGCCAAUGGGGCGCGGCGGCGGCGGCGGUGGCUGUUGCUGUGGCGGCUGUGUCCGACCCAGACGGGCUGAGAUGGAGCCGGAGGGAGAUGGAGGGAGGCGGAGGGAGGCGGCGGGAGGCAGUGUCGGCGGCAGCGGCGUAGGGAGGAAGGUGGCGGCGCCUGUCCUGCUGAGGGUGUGGGUGCAUGCAGUGUGCGCCGCCGCCGGGAUCCAGCUCUCCAUCUGCGCCUACCAUGUGGAGCUGGAGAAGAAGCGGGACCACCGGCCCUCUGCGACCUGGGACCCUGGAUGAAGUGCUCCGCUGCGCUUGCCUCCAGGUGCUGUUACCCUUUGCUGUGAUGGGGAGUAUGGAUGAAGUGAAAGUUGUAGAAAGGAUGGUCAGAGGCCAUCACUACCCUUGGGGAGUUUUGCAAGUUUUCAAGAAACCUUUGAAGCCAAAAAACAAGAGUUCUACAAUCAAUGUCAGAGGGAAGAAGAGUUGAAACAGAUUUAUGCAGCGAGUUAAGGAGAAAGAAGCAACAUUUAAAGAAGCUGAAAAAGAGAUCAGUACUGACAGUUUGAUAUAAUUUGCAUUAAUUUUUAGGUGCCCUAUUAAUUUGGGGGUUUUAAUCUCAAGAGUUUAGUUGAUGUUUUUGGAGGAUAUUUGCUAUUUUUCCAAAAGUAGCUUUUUACCAUGUAGAUUUGAAGAUAGCCUUUACAAAAUUGUAGUCUGUAAUGUUUUUUCUAGAGAACUUAGAUAAUUUUCCAUUUAAAUAACCCUUAAGAUAAUUUUAUAAAAAUUUAUUUAUUUUAUUUACAAUUUAAAUUUUCAUGCAUAAAGUUUAAUUUGUGACAAACCCAAGCUAUUUAUUUUGAGAAGAGUCUUGUACUAUCUAAUGCUAUUAAUGCACUAGAAGAUUAUCUUCACUUUUAUAAAUAAGCAAAUGUUGACUAGUGCUGGCCUUGAUUAAUGAGAAAAUUUUAAGUUGGUAAAUUAUGUAAAUUAUUUAUUUAUUUUAUUCCAUGCCAUUUCUAAUAAAAUGGAAAAAAAGGCUAUUAAUAUAGUUUUA
rnacentral:lncRNA from 1 species